rnacentral:rRNA from 1 species
UACGGGAGGCAGCAGUGGGGAAUAUUGCACAAUGGGCGAAAGCCUGAUGCAGCUAUGCCGCGUGUAUGAAGAAGGCCUUAGGGUUGUAAAGUACUUUCAUCGGGGAGGAAAAAACAAAACUAAUAAUUUUAUUUCUUGACGUUACCCGAAAAAGAAGCACCGGCUAACUCCGUGCCAGCAGCCGCGGUAAUACGGAGGGUGCUAGCGUUAAUCAGAAUUACUGGGCGUAAAGAGCACGUAGGUGGUUUUUUUAAAGUCAGAUGUGAAAUCCCUGGGCUUAACCUAGGAACUGCAUUUUGAAACUGAAAUACUAGAGUAUCGUAGAGGGAGGUAGAAUUCUAGGUGUAGCGGUGAAAUGCGUAGAUAUCUGGAGGAAUACCUGUGGCGAAAGCGGCCUCCUAAACGAAUACUGACACUGAGGUGCGAAAGCGUGGGGAGCAAACAGGGAUUAGAUACCCG